UACAGAGGUCUCAAGCGUUAUUCGGAUUCAUUGGGCGUAAAGGGUGCGUAGGUGGCGAUGUAAGUCUGGUGUGAAAUCUCGGAGCUUAACUCCGAAACUGCAUUGGAUACUGCGUCGCUCGAGGAUUGUAGAGGAGAGUGGAAUUCACGGUGUAGCAGUGAAAUGCGUAGAUAUCGUGAGGAAGACCAGUUGCGAAGGCGACUCUCUGGGCAAUUCCUGACACUGAGGCACGAAGGCCAGGGGAGCAAACGGG
rnacentral:rRNA from 1 species